ACCUGGCCACGUGUGACAGGAGCUGCUCUGUGUUUGUGUACAGGUGCGGGUGGAGUGGAAUCGUCUCCAGCUUCCCAGCUGAGCUCCGGGACAGAAGCCCCAGCAACUCGUAUUGGUCCUGGAGGAUGGAAGGUGGCAUGGGAAGAUGGGAAAUAUUCCAAGAGACUGUCCCAUUUACUAAUGACAAUCACGAAGAAGGCAGCACGGGAGGCAGAUGGAGAGCCUGUGCACAGGGGUGCAUUUCAGCAAGGCAGCCGUCUCACACUGCCCGUCCAGCCGGGAGCAACAGAGGCCACGCACACAGCUGGUGCUGCAGGUGCGGAAGGUGAGGGACGUGGAGAUGGCAGAGAAGACCAAGUGUUACUGAAAUACUGCCUGGCGCUGACUGCAGCUCUCGUGGUUUCCAUGCUGGCGGCGAUGAUAGCGUGCUGUCUGCUUAUCCGGCGAUGGAGGCAGAGCAACCAGCGCCUGGCUGCAGCUGAUGGAGCCCAGCACGAUGUCCGUGGCCACAGCUUGCCCUCGGACGGACGUCCUGCUUUCCUCAAGGGGCCUGGCAGAUGGAGAUGAUGCCAACAACAACGACCGCCUGCCUCCGGCCGCGUGGCACCACCAGGGCGGCCCCUGCCAGGCCUGACAGCAGCCGGGCUCAGCUGCCCCCGCCGCGGCCCCCCCAGCCCACCAGCCCAGGCUCUG
rnacentral:lncRNA from 1 species